GUGAAAACGCCCUUAAACUCCCACCCCGGAAUAAGGUGCCGGCAUCAGGCGCAACGAUUUGCCCAAGACGCCUAGCUACGCCACCCCCACACGGGACUUCAGCAGUGGUUAACAUUGAAUAUUAGCGACAGCUUGAUUCAGCCAUGGUAAAAAGAGCCGGCCAAUCUGGUGCCAGCCGCCGCGGUUACACCACGUGGCUCAAGUUGAUCUCCAUCGGCGUAAAGCGUGCUUUAAGCAAUCAAGACAUUAGAGUUAAACUUGGAUUAAGCUGUAAUACGCUUGUUACACGAGAAACUCAGAAGCGAAAGCUACUCUAACUUCGUCCGCUUGAACUCACGACAGCUGGGACACAAACUGGGAUUAGAUACCCCAUAUGCCUAGC
rnacentral:rRNA from 1 species